GUUUAUGGCCAUGCCACUCUGGACAAGCCCGAUCCCAUCUGAUCUCAGAAGCUAAGCAGGGUUGGGUCUGGUUAGUACUUAGAUGGGAGACCUAGGAAGACCAGGUGCUGUAGUCA
rnacentral:rRNA from 1 species